UGAGCAAUCUGCCCUUCACAUCGGAAUAACCAUUGGAAACGAUGGCUAAUACCGAAUAUGACUUCGGAUCGCAUGAUCUGAAGUGGAAAGCUCCGGCGGUGAAGGAUGAGCUCGCGGCCUAUCAGCUUGUUGGUGAGGUAAUAGCUCACCAAGGCGAUGACGGGUAGCCGGCUGAGAGGGUGACCGGCCACACUGGGACUGAGACACCGGCA
rnacentral:rRNA from 1 species